rnacentral:misc_RNA from 1 species
ACUUUAGUUCUUGAGGUAAUAUAACUCUUCCUGUUGCCAUAAUGUUUUUAGGUCGAAGACACCACCAUUUGAACUUUGCUUAUGACCACCUACUAGCUUGGCAAAGUGUCAAAGUUAUUAUAAAAAAGGAAAAGUUAAAUGCCUUGAGAUGGCCCAUUGCAUGCUAAGUAUCUGGGAGUCAAAGUUGUUCUGGUUGAGGGGAAAUUCUUUGUAUGAUUGAUGUGAGGUAGAGGGUUGUGAGCCUGGGAAUUUGAGAAUACAGGGUCUGAAAAUUGGAUCCCUAUCUAAAUAGUUGAUGGGGAAUGAGAAAUCAAACAGAAGAAUAUAGAACUACUAUUCUUUCACUAACCGGCUUAAGAAGCACUCUUUUGGAUGGAUAUUAUAGUAAUUUUUAAUUGAUAAAAAGAUACUUCAAAGCUGUGAAGCUGGGAAUUUGAGAAUAAGGGGUCUGAAAAUUGGAUUCCUG